rnacentral:tRNA from 2 species
GUGGAUAUAGUCAAAUGGUAAAAUUUCUUUUUGCCAAGGAGAAAAUACGGAUUCAAUUCUCGAUAUGUGCA